rnacentral:rRNA from 1 species
CCUAUGGGAGGCUGAACCAGCCAAGUCGCGUGAGGGAAGACGGCCCUACGGGUUGUAAACCUCUUUUGUCAGGGAGCACGGUUCAGGUCGGGACCUGCUGUGAGAGUACCUGAAGCAAAAGCAUCGGCUAACUCCGUGCCAGCCGCCGCGGUAAUACGGAGGCUGCUAGCCUUAUCCGGAUUUAUUGGGUUUAAAGGGUGCGCAGGCGGAGGCACAAGUCAGCGGUAAAAUCGCGGGGCUCAACCCCGCUCCGCCGUUGAAACUGUGUCCCUUGAGUGCGCGAAGGGUAGGCGGAAUGCGUGGUGUAGCGGUGAAAUGCAUAGAUAUCACGCAGAACUCCGAUCGCGAAGGCAGCCUACCGGCGCGCAACUGACGCUCAUGCACGAAAGCGUGGGUAUCGAACAGGAUUAGAUACCCGUGUAGUC